UGGGAAGCGCGGGCGCGCGGGCGGGCUGAGCUCACACUCCCGGGAAGCGGCCGCGGCGGAACCGGGGUCCGCAGCGACUGCGCAUCGCGCGCCUCUCGCGGGGCGCUCGGGGGCUGCGAGGUGGGCUGCGCGGUCCCCCGGGAGGGAGGAGGCCGCCGGAGAGGAACUGCAAAUGACAGAGCAGAGGGACGGCUGGGGCAACCAAUCCUGGAGCCGCUGCAGCACUUGUUCUCCAAACACACACAUUCUGGUGCAAGGACAGAGAGGAGGGGGCUGCUGGCUCCCAGGCCCUCCCGGGACCCUGGCCCCCUUGCUGCUCCCUGCUGCGGACAGAGGCCACCAUGGGCCAGGGUGGUGAUGGUGCUGCAGCCCCUCCCUGCGGCCCAGCCUGGGAAGAAGAAUGCAGAGCCAGGCAAGUCUCUCUCUCUGUGUCCUCUGGGGUGGAAGGAGCAGGUAUAGACAGGGCUGGGGCAGCAGGGCCUGGUGCUGCUUUGGCAUUGGUGGUGAAAGGCCUUUACCUCCAGCCCCUUGGGUUUGGUUCCACCCCUGGCCUGGCCCUCACCAACCGCGUCUAUGUGCUUAUCGGUGCCACCAUGUUAUAUAACGCUUAUAUAAUCUCCCAGGGCGAGCGCUGUGUCUCUGUUCUCAGGUCAUGCCGACACUGUGUCCCUGUGGGAGGCAGGAUCUGUGGAAGCUUGCGGGUGGACCUUCUCCCCCGUCCUCAACCUGGCUCCUCCUCCUGAUCCCGGGCCUAGGAGGGAGGAUGGGAGAACAGGGGCCCAUCCACACCAGCUGUCUGGGGUUAAGAAAGAGGAGUUGACUGGGUGGCCUCCUCACCUUCCUGCUUCCCUAGGCCCCCUUGCCCAGUGAACUGUCUGGUGGAGUGGAUGCCAGCCUCGUGUUUUGAGGCCCGCGUUUGUUCCUGGGGCCCCCUGCAUGGCAGAUGGGCGGGAUGAGAUGACCCCUAGAAUGUCGUAGUGGAAGAAUACGUGGUAUAUAGGGUUGGAGGGAGAGGGGCGGAAAUUAACUCUGCUUCGAGGUUUUGAUCAGAAGUGACUAGAAGGAUGGUGGUGGCAUUAGGAGACAUUUGGGGCAGGCCUCGGAGCUAGAGGAUGGUCAGGGAAGGGUGUACAGGGAAGUGGAUCAGACAGCAAAGAUAAACAUGGUGUUCUUUUACUGUACUCUCCACUGGGCUGUCCCUGGUUACCAGGGCAACAGAAGCAGUGAUGAAAAUCAUGCCUUUCGUUCAGUGGAAAAAUCUGGCUCCUCCUCCUGCCUAUUCCUUCUCUAAUCGCCUGCGACCCAUUGGGAGGUUGGCGGCUCCAGGGAUCAGAGACCCCAGUAUAUCCCCAUCAGGGCCCCCGUUCCCCAGUUUUUUAAUCAUCUUGCCCCUUCCUGCAUCCUUUAUCUCCCCCAGAGCUUGGCAGUUGCGCAGGAGUUGGAGUGGAUGGAGGAGGGGAGGGCACGGACGUCAUGGCAGGGCAGGGCGAGCAGAGCGUGGGCAGAGAUGUGGUUGCAGGAAUGACUGGCGCACGAGGAGGGUCAGGCAUUGAUCAGCUAGAUGGCACUUGUUUCUGGGGUGGUGGGAGCUGGGGGUGGAAAGGGUUGGAGAGGGCCUGCAGAGUCUGGCAGCGUAGGCUUCCUGUAGUAGAGAAGGCCUCGAGGCUUCUUUUGUUGCCCCGGCUCCCGAUGAAAGCUAGGGUUCAUUUAUGCAGCAGAUAUGGCAUACCUACUGUGUUGAGUAAGGUUCUGGGAGCUGGGAAGACAGGACUGGGCCUUGACCUUGAAGAGAUUGUAGUAGAUGGGAGGAAGGUAGGUAUAUAGGGGAAGAUCAGCCUGGCUUUGUUACAAGCCUGGAAUCUGGGGCCUCAGGCAGGAGACUGGCGGUAUUCCAGACUAGAGGUGAUGGAUUAGGAUGGAGCCUGUAGGAAUGCAGAGGAAGAGUAGUUCAGAGAGCCCCUUUGGCUAAUAGAUAGGACAUGGGGAGGGGAGGGGUGAAGAUUUUGGGUCUUAGUGAUUGACAGAAACAUCAGGAUUCAGACCUCUUGAGGGGCAUUGUGUUUGAUUUUAUUUCAGACCUACUGCCUUCAAGACCACGGCAGGGUGUCCAGAUAGAAAUGUUUCUUGUCAGGCAGAAUUUGCAAUGGAAGUCAAUUCUGGGACAAGACUUGUAGGAAAUUGUAUUACAAAGUCUCGAAGGCGCUAGGUUGCUAAGAGCGUAUACUGAGAGAGAGAGAGCUCAGGACCCAGAGCAUCGGCCUAGAUUGGGUGAGGCUGUAUGUCUUGUACUUGUUUAUGAUCCCAGCACCCACCCAGACUGCUGGACCCGUUUCUGCUAAAGAACACACACGUCUGCUACCAAACCACACCCCUUUUUGAAGUUCAGGUUUCUGUUUAAGUUUCCUUCUCCCUAGUAACUAUGUCCAAGAAGACAUGUAUGUCCUGGAAAGAUAGAUACAGAUACUUCUCCAAGCUUUCUCCUUGCCCUUUGCUGUACCAUUCACUUAGAAAUUACUGAGAAGCCCCAAGAUGUACCUGCUAGAGAGGUGAGCCAUAGGUCUUUAGCCUCCCCCCAGGAAAGCUGUUUGUUCUGGUUCCUUCCCAGUCAUCACUCUAGAGAAGUAAGAGUACUGGACAGAGGGUCAGGAGGCCUUUGCCAGCUGUAUGAUCUUGGGCGAGGCACUCUCUAGGCCUUAUUGCCUAGUCGAAGAGGUCUGGUUUCUUCCAUCUCUAAAGGCUUCGGAUUUGACAUCCAAAGCUUUAUCCAACUUUGUCGGGGUUUCUGGUGAGGGCCAGGCUUUUUGAACAAGCCACGCAGAUUUCUUCGGUACUUUGUGGGAGGGAGUAGCAGGGUGGAGGCCUGGUCUCCAGAGUAGGCCCCUGUCUCCAGAGUGGGUGGGAGCCCAUCAGAGGGAGUGUGGUCCCUAUUCCUCUUGGGAAUUUGGAAACACUGGAAGAGUAGAUUUUCCCAGUGACCAGGGAUUGGCAAACUGCAACCCAUAGGUCAGACGCCUGCUUUUGUAAAUAAAGUUUUAUUGGAACCCAGACAUGCUCAUUGUUUCUGUAUGGUUUAUGGCUGCCUUCCUCCUGCAUUGGUGUAGCUGAGUAAUUGCAACAAAGACUCUCAUCCGUAAGCCUGAGGUACUUACUGUCCUGCCCUUGAGGAAAAAGUGCGCCAUAGACCAGCAAAGUGCUUAGAUCUCCACUGGGGAUGCUUACUGUAGCCACGUCAGAUUCCUAAGGUUCUUGAAGAUUCUGCAUUGGGCCUUCCUUUGUUAUCCCAUGAGAGGAUAAUGUGGCAGUUGAAAUAGGAGAGCAUUGGAGUCAGCCCAAAGAUAGCCGUCUUGGGUCUGGGAGAUCCCUUUCAUUUCCAGCCCUUUCCCUAGAGCCUGGAGGUGCCCCCUCUCCACCCCAUGUCUUUGAGCCUGGUGACCUGAAUUCCUCCGCAGGGAUGGGUUGUGGCCUCACUGUGACAGCUGAUGCUCCCUCUCAUCUCAUUCUGAUUUCCUAGGCCGUGCAGAGCAAAAUGGACCAACUCAAGCCCCAUAAGGAGAAGGAGAGGCUGGUUAGUUCUACCAAGUCCUGCAGUGUAUUUCCCUUGAUAUCUUUGCUUUGUCAUUUCCAGCCUCACUGCCCCCUUUUAGUGCCAGGGCCCCUGGAGAUGCAUUUGCCGAGAGCCUGCCACCAAGCUGCGUUUGUCUGCCUGAACCUGGCACUCAUCCACCCUGUCGGAACAAGGCUCUCCAGCUUGGAGCUUGCGGGGUUUGCAUCUGUGUUGGCUUGGGUCCGGAUUCUUGUGGCCAACUUUACAGUCUCCUCCUGUGUCCAGGCUUCUGCCCUUUGGACCUGGUCCUCAUGCCAGAGUCAUCAUGAAAACUCCUGGUUAGGAAGAGGAGAAGCCACCCCCCGCCCCCCGCCCCGUCCCUCCUACAGGACAGCACUUGUGUCCUGGCUGGUCAAGGCUGAGAUAGGAAGUGAGGCACUUUGGUGGCAAGAAGAAACCACGUUCUGGGAACCGCGUUAGGGGUGAGGGUGACUGAGGCUUAUUCCCAUCGCAGCUGGAAGGGAGGAGGCCGGCAGUGGGAGGAGGGAGCAGACAACCCAGAAUAGCAAAGGAGACAGAAGCUAACCAUACUCAGGGCUGCUUUUAGCUGGUAAUGGUGAGCCUGGCUCUGGGAGUCUUACUUCGCACCUCCCUACACACAUUUUCCCCAGAGGCUGCCUCUCUGACUGUUCUCAUCCCCCCCAAAAAGAAAAAAAAGGGUCCUUCUUAAAAGUCCUCUGAAUACCUUUCAUUUGUAGAAUUUAGGGUGACCUCAUCCUACCUGGGCUUGACCUGGUGUUGACACAAGCACACUGACCUGGGGAAAUAUUUGUUUACCGGAUAUUGAUUAAGGGUGUGUUACGCGUAGGGCACUGGGUGAAGUUCAGAGGCUGCCAAGGAAAACACAGGAUUCACAGUGUAGCCAGGAAGGCGUACGGACAGUUGAACCCAUUAUCACAUGAUCUGCAAUAGAACCCAAGCUUCCCGAGAGCAGAUCUGUGUCUGUCCCGUUCAUUGCUGUCAGCAUGGUGCGGGGUAUUUGCUGGGCACAUGCGCGCACAUGUUUAAUUGGUUGACACGUCUGGAUCUGGCGCGUCCUAGAAGUGUGCUGGAGGGAUCCACUAGGCAAGUGGAGGAAGAGGGGAGCUCAUGGCAGCAAGUGUGGCCAAUUCAGGGGAAGAUGGGACGUCCCUGGGCAUUGUGGUGAUGUGAGGGAAAGAGGGUAGAGAAGAGGUAAUGCCCCGUGGGCAUGGGGAUCCUUGGGCAUCAGGGGACCACGAGAUAGGAGAAUGAUCUGGCGCGAGGAGGCAGGUCAGCAGCAGCCCACCUCGUUGAAGGAAACAGAGGGCUUGGCGGGGGGGCAGGAGAAGCAGCUGGUGGCAGGAAGGUAAGACGGGGCAGGGGGAGUAGCAACCAGUGGGAGAGAAAGCAUGGUGGAGUCUCCAGGCCCCCCAGGGUGAAAGUAGAGCUGAAGCAGGUGAGUCCCAGAGGAAGGUGAUGGAAGUGACAGAGAAGACCAGUGUCAGCGCUGCUCCACGGGUCUCAAAAACAAUCGUGUGCAGGCACGACCCCCCUGUGGUGGGGCAAGUGGGAGGAAAUGAGCGACCGUUGGAGAUCACGGUUACUCUGCAGCAUUCUUACUACGGAAAUGUUCCUAUGUGUGUGAAGAUAGAGUUAGUAGAAGAAGAUCCCAUGUUCUCAUUACAGCUUCAGCCUGUAAUCCACAUGUGGCCCCUCUCAUUUCAUCUGUACCCCACCCACCUGUUCCUUACUCCUCUUUUGCAUUUUGUUACUGCGAAUCCCAGACACCCUAUUUCAUCCGUAAAUUCUCCACUAUGGAUCUCUUAAAGCAUAACGCCGUGGUUGUAUCAUCCCCAAAUCUCCCCAGUCACCUACCUGGCCAGUGUUUACGUUUCCCUGCUGGUCUCCAUUUUUUAACAAAAAUCUGGUUCCAAACAAGAUCCACACAUCUCAUUGAGUUGAUGCUUAUUCUCACGUCUGUGAAUAAAGAUUAUGGACAUGCUUAAAAGAAUUUAUGUUUUGCGGUUCUGCCUUUUAGAUUGACUUAGCUGCCCCCCUCUGUCUCCCUUCAGCUGCCAUCAACAGCUUUCCUGAGUUCUCUUGAACCAUUUUGUGAUUCCUGACCGUACUUCAUUAUUGCUCUUGUCUUUGUGGUUUAAUGGAACUGGUCAUUUAUUCCUUCCUUCAGUAAGUAUUUCUGGAGAGCAUGCUCUGUGCCGGGUGCUGGGCAUGCAGCUGUGAAAAGUCAUGCAGGUACCCUGCUCCCUCUGGAGCUCACAGUCUAACCAUGACACAGUGGUUUGGGUCUGUCUGCCUGUUGUCUCUUUCCCCCACGUGUUCACCCCAGCCGAGUUGGGCGACUGUCACGUCACUUUGGGCCGUCUGCUCUGCUGUGUUCUAGGGCUUGGCAUUCAUGUUCCUGUGCUGUCAUUUAUGUGGUUGACAAAAGGUGCCUCUAGAACCAUCUAGGAGGUGGGGUGUGGCUCCUGUGACGGGCCCCUUUCCAAGCCAUGGGAUUGGGAGUCUAGCAGUGUUCCCGACUGACUUGGCAUAGAUCCAUUUUACACUUUUGGCCUUGAGUCUCUAUAGCUAAGCAAGUUAAAAUGGAGAGAGCCUUCUUCCCUGGCAGAUGGUGGAGAGGCUGAAUGAAACAUCUGGAAGGUGCUCUGAAAUGUUGAAGGGCUCAGCAAACACCAAGUGGUGCAAAGAUGUUCUUUGGGCAAGUUGGCUGUUUCAGUGAUGUUGUGGAUGUCAGGUUGCCUGGGGGCUUUUGUCUGUUCUGAUUAGGUUACCUGCCUCGUUAUGCCCACUUUCUCCAUUUGCUCUUCUUUGCUGUGCAAUAGGCAAUUGGCUAGCCAGGCUGCCUCCGCACCAGAAUCCGAUGGUAGAGUUCAGGUCUGGCUUGCUAAUGAAACUAUUAACUCACUUGCAUUUCUCUGUGUAAAUAAAUAAUCAGACUUACGUUUGGACCCCGUGACACUCUGAGAAGAGUCUAUGAGUUUUGUAUUUUUUUUCCAUUUGCGGUUCAGAUGCAGAUUUAUUGCAGUUUGUGGAUUAGUAUCUGAGCCUUUAAAAAAAUCUCCAUUAAUAAAGUAAAUGUAGGGGCGCCUGGGUGGCUCAGUCGUUAAGCGUCUGCCUUCAGCUCAGGUCAUGAUCCCAGAGUCCUGGGAUCAAGCCCCUCAUCGGGCUCCCUGCUCCGAGGGAAGCCUGCUUCUCCCUCUCCCACUCCCCCUGCUUGUGUUCCUGCUCUCGCUGUUUCUCUCUCUGUCAAAUAAAUAAAUAAAAUCUUUUAAAAAAAUAAAUAAAGUAAAUGUAUUCCCAGAUAUAAAGACUAGUAUUCUUGCACCAUGUUUUAUUAUAUAUUUAAGAUAAUAAUAUAAAAUGUAUUCAAUGUGCUGUGAUAUUUAUCUUCUGUCAUUGGAGUAUUCAUAGGUUAGAGUUUGAGGAUAUGUUUUAUUUUCUUCAAAUUAAGUGGUCUUUGACUGUUUUGAUCAGGUAGCUGUGUUGGUUAAAAUUUUUGAGCAGAUCCCCGUGUGUGUGUGUGUGUGUGUGUAUGUAUAAUUUCUAUACAGCAUGUUAUGCUGAUACAUUAUAUACAGUAUAAUACACAAAAUGAAAAGAAUUAAAAGCAGCUGUGGUGCAGUGUACUCUCUGCCCCCCUCCGCGUGAACCAUUCAUGGUCCAGAUUGAGGGCAGCCGCUUCCACCCCCUCUCACACUCAGGACAUUGGCGCUCCACUAUUCCCUCUCCUUCUGACAUCACUAGUUUUGCCUUCUCUCUACUGGAUCGCUUCCAUGUGCUGUGGUUUCUCUCAGCUUACAAUCUUCUUUGACCCCUCCCCCCCAGCUCUUCCAGCUCCGGCUCCUUUCUCUGUCCCCCCGAGGGUCUUCAGUUCCCCAAAUCUGCACUUCCUCUCUUGACUCCCUCUGGGCAGGCUUGUCCCCACCUGUCUGGGGGGGGGGAGUGCUCUCGACCAAGCCAGCCAUGACCACCAUGUUUCCAAAUCUAACCAUCACUUCUUAGCCUUCAUCCCAGUGGCUCUGGCAGUUUGGUACCACCGGCCGUACCCUUUUCUUUGAAGCUCUUUCUUCGCUUGGCUUCCAGGACACAGGUUUCUGGUUUCCCGCCUGCCUCGUUGUCUGUUCCUUUGCAGCAGCUCCUCUCCCUGACCUUGAAACAUGGGCCCCCUCCUCUCCAUCUCCUCUCUUUCUCUCUCUGACCCUCUCCCAGCCCAUGGCUUUCAGUAGCAUCUAUAUGAAAGAUGUCUAGAAUUUGCUUCAAAGAAACCCUGGGAGAGAAAUGAAGAUUGACCGUGAGUGGAUGACAGUUGGAGCUGGGUGAUGGGUACCUAGGGGUUUAUUAUAGUGCUCUCUCUGGUUUAUGUUUAAAAUUUUCCAUAACGAAAAAUUGAAAACCUAUAUGCUGAUGGCCCACAAUUAUUUGUCUGAAGCCCAGCCCCUCUCCUGAAGUACAGACCUGUGUAUCCAUCUGCCUACUUAACAUUUUAACUUGGAUAUUAAUAGGCAUUUCACACUAAACAUGCCCAAAACUGAGCUCCUGUUUUUCCCACGCAAAUAUAUUCUUCUGCAGUCUUCCAUCUUGGUUGUGGGAAUGCCAUCCUUCCAGUGGCUCAUGCAAAAUGCCUAUGGUCGUGCUUGACUUCUCUUUCUCUUUCAUUUUUCUUUCAGUUCAUCAGCAAAUCUUGUUGACUCUACCUGCAAAUAUAUAGAGAAUAUGACUCGUUAGAACUACUUUCACUGUCAUCACCCUUGUCCAAGCCACCAUCAUUUAUCACCUGUUUCUUCUUGGCCCCUUGCAGAUGAUGUAACCCUCACGGUAGGCAGAAGGAUCCCGCGAUAAAGAAGCCAGGUUCAAAACCCUGCAGCAGCUUCAUUUCUCCCUCACUGAAAGUCAUGGUUCUUAGUACAGUCUACAGGACCCUGUAGCUUUGAAACGCUGUCCACCGGAAAUACAACAUGAGUUACACAUGAGAGCCACAUAUGUAGUUUUCACAUUUUUCUGGUAGCUAAAUUGAGAAAGGAAAAAGAAACAGGUAAAAUUAAUCUUAAUAAUUCAUUAAUCCAGUAUGUCAAAAAUACUUUACUUUCUGAUGCAUAUUGCAGGGUUUUUCAAACAAAGUCACACCCAUAGCACAUCUCAGUUUGGGUUCGCUAUACGCAUCUUGCUCCCAGAGCCUCCUGGGGCUCAUGGUUCCCUGUUGGAAAUGCACGCCUCUGUGAUCAGGUCCCGCUUGACUUCUGUGUUUUUCUCUCCUGCGACUCUUCCUCCUUUCCCUUCGUUCUAGCCACAUUGGCCUUUUUGCCGCUCCUCCAAUAAACUAGGGAUUUCCUCUUUUAGGUCCUAUUCCCUGUGUUUGGAACGCUUUUUGCCAGAUAGCCCUGUAGCGGACUCUUACUUCCUUUGGGUCUGUGCCGGGAUAGUACCUUUGCAGUGGCCCACUCCACCCCCACGCGUUUGCUGGCAUCUCCUGCAUCCCUUCCCUUGCGGCAUUGGUUCUCCUUAGCACCAUCACCCACUUAACAUACUGUGUAUUUCUCUUACUUCAUAUAUAUCUUCCCUCUCUCCCUGCUGGACCGUGAGCUCCAUGAGAGCAGGGGUUUCUGUCACUUUUGUUCCCUGCUGUAUUUCCAGAGCAUGGAACAGUGCUUGGCACCUGUAAGAUACGUAGAUGUUCGUUGAAGAAUUAAAUGGAAUGAAUUAUUAAGAACGAUUCUCUUUUAGUUAAGAACCAUCCCGUUGAAUGUGCUUUAUUGUGUGGUGUCAUGUUCUUGCCAUGUAGCAGUUUGAAGGUCUAGUUCAAGUCAGGGUAUUUUGAAAGAGAUCUCUUUAUAAAGAGGGGAUUAUGGGUUCAAUUUAUAAUAUAAAUGGAUUCAAGACCCCCAAAACACUGCAUUUCAUUCAUUUCCUCGGGAGAUUUUAAACCACGCUUGAACAUUCUGUUUUAAGUGCGUGCCCAGAUACGACAUUUUAGAGAUGAUGUCCUCAUAUUGAAUGUGGCAACAUCGUCACAUGAUGGUAGAAAUGAUUUCCAAAUGCCUGUUUUUUAACAGGUUCUUGCUGUGACAUAAGUCUCUUUCAAAAAGUAAAGGCUUUCUUACCCAUUUUUUAGGUGUCACCUUUACCUUGAAGAGACAGAUUAAAUAUCUGUUUAAAAAUAUUCAUCAAGUAGCAUUCUACCGACAGGCACUCACUGCAGAAGAGGUCAGCAGAUUUUAGAACAAUGAUGUUUUCUGCUUUAAAAAAAAAAAUGCGUAAUUCCUCUUGAAGUUCAGCACCUCGUUUAGGAAGUCUGCCAUGAAUAAUCGGAGUCAGUAUGGUCAGAUCAUUACAGAGGGCUAUCAGUUGUAGGGAAGAUGGUACCCUGAGAUUUGCUGGGUACUUGCAAACUGUACUAAAGUACACAGAUGACGGGGGUGUCGCCGACCGUUCUCGUGGGUGUGUUGGAUCUCCUGCUCAGGUACGGGAUGCCCCCUGCACCUAAGUGACAGUGACCACUGGACGCAAAUGGAAGGAGUCGCAGCAGUGUCUCACAUGUGGAGUAAUAAUAAGAUUUACUUGCUUGUUUUCAAAUAAAAAUAAAUACAGACAUCCUGCUAAUUUCUUCUUCACCCCGGUGGAUCUCGUACAUGCCGCGUCCGAGGUGAUGGCUCUAGUUGGUGCUUUUAUAGUAACCUCGUCUCUCUCACUUUAAUCCAGUUAAGGGUUGGGUCUUCUCUUUUCUGUUGCUCCUAGUAUCUAACAGGUCUGGGUUGCGCCAGUACCUAUUGGCUGAACAGAGUUGGGGGGGGUAGAUCUAUUCUCUGACCUCAGGACCUUUGUUGGACAACAAAGCCUGGCAGCCAGAUGUCUUUGGUAGCUGCUAGAGCUAUUUCUUUAGCAGUAUGGAAGGCAUGGGUGGCAUCAGGGAAAAAGGCAUUGCAGUGUUGAGGCUUGGUGAGUCUCGAUGCCUCCUCUGGAUCCGACAGGAAAGAUGGAAGCUGCUUAAGGCCCCCCCCCGCCCUCCCAUGCUGUGGAGUAGAUGCUUGUGCUCAGCUGCUGCUCUGGAAGUGAGCUGGCAGAGGUUGCUGGAAGAGAUGGCCAAGGUAGCUUGAGUAGCCGGCACUCAAGCUAUGUCUUCCAUCCGCUCACCUGUAUGCUGAGAAUGUUUGUGCAAGUAUGCUCUUUAUCCAUAUUGACGGUCCCCUGGAUGUGGACACUGGGAGUUGAUUUCUCACUGCUGUGACUGGAAGCACCGUUUAAAAGAUGCGUGGCUGGAACGAGAGCUGCAGACUGUGUCAAGAACAGAGGUCCUGGUGUACAUUCUGCCAUGGAGACUACCUCCCAUGUUCCCCGAACCGUGCGUCAAUGCGCAAAGCUUGUCCCCCAGUGGGCCACUCUUUGCUACUUAGAAAGCUAACUGAUCCAUCAGCAUCUGUUCAUUGACACACAUUUGUACAGGGCCUCUUGGGUGAAAGAUGGAGUGGGGUGGGGAUGGGAAAGGAAGGAAUAUGCCAGUGUGAAUGGGACAUGGUCUCUUGUCUUUGAGGAGCUAGAGGUUAGUGGAUACUGAAAUACUGAAAUACAAGACAAAGCUUAAAAGGGAUGUGAAUGGAGUAGAAGAAGGGGUUACAGGAGCCAAGGGGCUGUUGGGAAGUGGAGGAGAGCUCUUGGAACACGAGCAAGAAGAUCUUGUCCAUCUUGUUCACAGCUGAAUCCUCAGAGGCUAGCACAGUGCUGAUCCCCGUCAGGUGCUCCGUAAUUACCUAUUUGUUAACAAUUGGGUGUUGAAGGAAUAGGCCUUCACCCAGAGGUGCAAUGCAAAGGCCCAGGGGUGAAGGAAGAAAUGACUUCUUGGGAGAAAGUAGUUGGUGUGCUCUGAGGGGUGUAUGUGGCAAGAGACGGGGCUAUAUAUUGCAGAAUUAAGGGCAGUCUUGGGAAAGCCGUGACCAACUUUCUAAGAAUUUGAUUGUGGUGGUUCUUAACCUCUUUUGCACCAGUGCUCAUCAGGAAUAGCAUAGAAACUAUAGUCUCUUUCUCCAAAGAGAAAAAAAAUCGCAACAGCACAUGAUCUGGCACUUACCAUCGGAGGACUCCCAGAUCCCAAGUUCUAAGAGCAUGCUGUUAGCCAGGGGAGCUGUCCGUGCUUACUGAGAGCUCAUAAUGGAUACAAGACACUUGUUUUUCCCUUGGAUUCUUUGGGAAUUGACUCCCAUGAGUGUGUAUGGAGGCGUUCCAGCUUUUAAGGGCUCUGAUAGGUGGCAGGUACAGUAGUGACCUCGACGAGCUCGGGGAAGCCAUGGAGAAGAGGGGAGGGGUCUUUGUGUACAGACAGAAAUGGGGAGAUCCAGUGUUUGUUCCAUUUAGCAUGGGACAAAAAAGUUUACCUUGGAAAAAAAUAGGAAAAAAAAAAGUGAACCUUUAAAACUUACUAAUUUAGAAUAUGGGACGCUUAUGCUAACUUUUUUCUGUGACGUGGUUUCCAACUCAGACACCCGGCCAAGCAGUAAUGACAGAUUUAGAGAGGCGGUGUUUGCAUUUUUUGGGAACGGUGAUUGUGGAAAGGAGUCAUUAGAGUUUCACGUUACCUUGGUACAGCGAUCGAGGAGCUCCUUAGCCGUCCCGAUCCAUCAGAGGGAGCUGCCUGGAGGUGGCGAGAUUUCUCAGGCUGCUUCUAAGAGCAGAAAGCUGGGGCUGAAGGUAGUUUAAAAUUAGCUUGUUUUGUUCCCGUUGUCAUAAAAAAAAAUUCUUAUGAAGAAAGAGUAUCUGUGUACCUUCAGUUGAAAAAUAAAUUGACCAGACUUCCUGUCUGCCAGGAGUUUGUAGUCUACCUCAUAUACAGAUAGGACAUUUGGAGAUUUGAAAAACCCAGUGUGGGCAGCGCACUGUUGACUUUCCUGCCUGUGUGUGUCCUACGAAGUUCAUCCCAUGGAGGUGCGGUGAGGCAGUGCUUCAUCCCAGUGAAGGAGGUCGAUUGAAGAUCAGCCCUGCGUGCGGCCAUGCUCCCCGCAGGCCAGCACCGGAAGGCGCCACUGGAGAUGGAAGAGGAGCACCCUUGAGCUCCUGCCCCCAGAGCAGAGCAGGGAGCAGGCUCGGGAACCCAUGCAGCAGCGUGUGCUUGAUGCAUCCUCUUUCUCCCCUCUGCUGAGGCUUCCCACUCGUGUACUCAGUGGGAUUUUGCUUUGUGAGCUUAGUCUGUGAGUGAGCUUUAAAGGUUUUUUUCAAGGAGAAGAGCCCCUCCUGUUUUCCCUGCAGAUGCAUUCGGACUGCAAGUCCAGACACCUUAAUGGGGGGUGAAAUCAAUUUAAUGGAUUGAGACCAA